ACUCGAGUGGCGAACGGGUGAGUAACACGUGGGUGAUCUGCCCUGCACUUCGGGAUAAGCUUGGGAAACUGGGUCUAAUACCGGAUAGGAGCCAUCUUUAGUGUGGUGGUUGGAAAGUUUUUCGGUGUAGGAUGAGCUCGCGGCCUAUCAGCUUGUUGGUGGGGUAAUGGCCUACCAAGGCGGCGACGGGUAGCCGGCCUGAGAGGGUGGACGGCCACAUUGGGACUGAGAUACGGCCCAG
rnacentral:rRNA from 1 species